UACGAAGGGUGCAAGCGUUACUCGGAAUUACUGGGCGUAAAGCGUGCGUAGGUGGUUUGUUAAGUCUGAUGUGAAAGCCCUGGGCUCAACCUGGGAAUGGCAUUGGAAACUGGCGACCUAGAGUGCGGUUAGAGGGCAGUGGAAUUCCCGGUGUAGCAGUGAAAUGCGUAGAGAUCGGGAGGAACAUCUGGUGGCGAAGGCGACUGCCUGGACCAGCACUGACACUGAGGCACGGAAAGCG
rnacentral:rRNA from 1 species